AUUGAACGCUGGCGGCAUGCCUUACACAUGCAAGUCGAACGGCAGCGCGGGAGCAAUCCUGGCGGCGAGUGGCGAACGGGUGAGUAAUACAUCGGAACGUGCCCAAUCGUGGGGGAUAACGCAGCGAAAGCUGUGCUAAUACCGCAUACGAUCUACGGAUGAAAGCAGGGGAUCGCAAGACCUUGCGCGAAUGGGGCGGCCGAUGGCAGAUUAGUUAGUUGGUGAGGUAAAGGCCCACCAAGCCGCCGAUCUGUAGCUGGUCUGAGAGGAGGAGCAGCCACACUGGAACUGAGAGAGGGCCAAGGCUGCUACGGGAGGCCGCAGUGGGGAAUAUGGGACAAGGGGGGGAAGUUGGAGUCAGCGAUACUGCGUAGGUGAAGAAGGAUUUCUGGUUGGAAAGUCGGUGUGUGGGGAAAGAAAAGAAGCAAGUGAAUAACCCGGUGCCGGGAAGGGACCGAAAGAAUAAGCACCGGGUAACGUAGUG
rnacentral:rRNA from 1 species